rnacentral:lncRNA from 1 species
GCUCAGGACACUUCCGGUACGUGCGUUAGGGGUGGCGGCGGAGGGGGGGGGGCUUCCUCCCCCAGCGCUGCCGUCCUCCACCCACCGCAGGCUACCACACAUACUGCAGCUUCUUGAAGAUCGAGGCCAGCCAGUUGCAUCCAGCCACGACAGCGUUCUGUGACCUGCUUCUGCGAACACAGCGGCCCCAGCCUCUCCGGGGCCCCCAGGAUGGCCUCAGACACGGGGAGGAAGAAGAAGGGAUACAGCUGCUGCAGACCAAGGACCCCGUGGCCAGAGGAGCAGGGCCCAGGGCCCGCCAAGGCAGGGCCCGCUGGGGUCUGGCCUACACGCUGCUGCACAACCCGGCCCUGCAAGCCUUCCGGAAGACGGCCCUGUCGGGGGCCUAGGUCAACGGAGCCCAGCCCCGAGGGUGCGGGAAGCCACCGUGUCCUUGUUUGUGCUGGGGUCCUCCCCUCCUCCCAGCCCACUCCCUCCCCAGCGUCCCCAGCGUCCCCCCCCAGCCAGGGCAGCCUCUCUGCCAGCAAGUUCCCCGGAUCAGCGACCAGCACCAGAAGCCAGGGGUCGCUGUGGUUGGAUGGAGGUCUGCCCACACCAGGAGCUUCCAGAGGGCUCUGGUCUGCACCCUUCGUCUUGGGAAGCCAGCAAGGGCUCCAGAGGAAGUAAUUGGUGGUGUAGGCUCUUGGUCUGGGAGCCAGUGGAACCGGGGAGGCCACAUCCAGGCCCCUCCCCAUGCUGGCAAUGCCACCAGCCUCAGCCUCACUGCGGUCUUCUGCCUGGCCUUGGUGAGGUUCAGCCCAGAACAGUUUCACGUUCCAGCUCAGCCCCACCUCAGCCUUGGAUCUCACCACCACGGAACCAGACACAGGGCUUCCUCUCUCCUCCAGCUUCCCCCUCUCCUCUUGGGGGGGCCUCAUGCCUUCCUGCGAGGCAGCCCAGGAGGAAGCCAUGGGCUCCUACUGGGCAGCAAAGUCAUGGCUCAAAGCAGGCCCCACACCGAGCUGGCCACACUUGAGAGCCUGAUAUUUUUGCAAUUGGUAUGCCUUUAGAUAUUAUGAAAGGGGUUAGUGUGCUCCUUGUAAUAAACUUGUCCCUGAGAAACAGUCCUCCGUAGGAGGAGGGUACGUGGGGGAAAACUGCCCGUACUGCCAGUAAAUCAUGUAUGGGGCUUGGGUGGGGUCGGGGUAUCCUGGUCACAUGUGGGGCUGGGUACUCCGUGCGGGGCAGAGGAGAACCCAUAGCCAUAUCCUUUUGGGUGGUAGAGGGACUGGGGACCCUAUGAUGCCACCUCUGAACUAUGUGGACAUUGGCUUUGGAGGUAGGACUUCUCCUGGGUCCUUGAGAAUGGGCAGGACUUAGGGAAGAGAGAUUUCAGGAAGACGGAAGCAAUAUGAAUAAAGAAGCGGAAGAGGGGGGAUGGGGCACAGGGUGGAGCUGUCCUAAAAGGAGUAGACCCUGUGUGCAGCCGGGAAGGGCAGCUGAGGUGGGGGGGGGGGGAGGGGGGGUCCCUUCCCUUGCUGGGGACUGGUGGAGGUGGGGGAUGGAUGACUGAGGGUGUAGGGCCCACUGUGGGCUUGGUGAGGGUGGGGGAAAGGUGGCCACUCCACAGAUCUGGGUCAGCGGGGCCUUGAGAGAUGUCUGCACAACCUCUCUCCUCGCCCACAUUCCCACACUCCACCACGGCCUCAAAUACACUUGAAGCUAGGGGUGGGGCCAGGGAGCUCAAACCCGCCUUUGAGGCUGCCCCAGAGGGGCAGGGGAGGGUGGGUAAGAGGGCGGGCUCUGAUCCCACUGUAGCCCAUUGAAAAAUGUCUUUCUGACCCAGUGUUGGUGACCCACAGCGUCACAGGGAUGAGAAGGCAGACUGGGUCUCUUCCCUUAACAAGGAAACAGUCACAAUAGAGUGUGAUCAGACUGGGACACUGGACACCCAGGGUUGUGUGAGCCAGAGGAAGGGACCCCAUCCUUGUGGGGGCCAGGGGGUGGGGCACCCAGGAAGGCUUCCUUGAGCCAACUUAGCCAAGUGAGGAAGAGGGGAAGGGUGUCCAGACCAAGGGAACAGCAUAUAUAAAGAUGUAGAAGAUAACACAUCACAGACUAUUACGGGAACAUUAAUUAGCAGGUCCAAGAGGGUCACGUGGAGGGAGGGUGACAUCAGAGAGUCAGGCAGAGGGACAAUGAAUGGCUGGCUGGGGAAUUUGGGCGUCACUCUGAGGGUACGGGGAGCCACAGAUGACUUUGAAGCAGGAGAGUGACUGUUUCAUUCAGAGCACAGCUGUUCCCCAGCUGCCCCUGACUCAGGUCUUAGGCCCAGGUCCCAUUUCCAAAAGCCAAGCUUGCUCAGCUGUGAAUGGGAGCCAGAGACAUCAGGGAUCCAAGAUGAGUUAGGAUAUCAAGCCUUCGAUAAUCAGAGUCCGUUGGACCCUUAAGCAUCCUACUCGUCCUUUGUUUUCUGAGGAAACUGAAGCCCAGAGAUGGGCAGUGAUUUACCCAAAGUGGCACAGCACGGGGGACUUGGCUCCACCCUGCUGCUUCCCACCAGAUGUGCAGACAUCCCUGACAUGUGCUGCUGGUGACAUCAGCUCAGCAGGAGCUGCAAGCUGCUGAGGGGGGCGGGGAGGUGCUGCGUGUGGACCAGGAGGAGGGGGAAGGGAAGCUGGCCAGACUCCUCGGCCUCCCUGCCUCCACUUUGCUGGGCUCAACAGUCCUGAGUGCAGAACCUGGGAGGCCGCAGAGCCUCUCCCACAGGGUCGUGUCCCUAUGUGUAGCCCCCUUCGUUCUGGAAACGGGUGGGGAGGGAGACACAUCGCUGACUCGGCACGGAUGCGGGGAUUAGUCUCCAGGUUGAUUCCAUCUACAUGCUCCCCACUCUAAGAGACCCUCAGGCUGCUGCCAGGCCCUCGCCACCCCCCAGGUCAGUCGCCGAUCCACCUGCUGUGUGGGGAAGACGCCCAGGGCCGACUUCUCCUCCAGGAACACCAUUUCCUCUUCCUGGAAAGCACCGUUGGUGUCCUGGGCUCCCCCCUCAAAGAUGCUCUCUUGUUCUCACUCUCUGGGUGUUUUUUCCUCUCCCCCCUUCUCGCCCCUACCCUGCGUCCCAUCUCCCCCUUUCUCUUUCCUCCCCAUCUUGCCUUGUCUGUCCCCAUUUCCUCUCCGUUCCUUAACAUCCCUUCCAGGAAUAGGACCGGGAAGGGGGGGGGCCACAAUCCGGGUGCUUCCGUUCCCUGCCCUCCCCCCCAAUGCCUCCUUAGGCCACUGCUGGCAUGAAGCACUGUGCAGGGCCAUGGACCCAAGGGAAGCCUCUGGGAUGCUCAUCAGGCCCACACCCCCGUUUGUCCUGUGGGCUCAUUUGAGGACAGGGAUGAUCUGCCCUUCAGCUCAGCUUGAGGCCGGGCGCUGAGCCCACCGGCCCAACCCCUUGUGCUACCUGCUACACAGUCUGUGCGGGCCUCACAGGCCCCGUCACGCGUGGACAAGCAGGCUGGUUGUCCUGACCCUCCGACUCCCCAUCCUGUCCCCAACCGGGAUGGGGGCGGCGGGGGAGGACCCUAGAUUCAGACAAAAUGCCAGGCAGACGCAAGGGAGCAUCAGAAAUGCUGUUUAUUUCUCAGCCGCCCCCUGGGACGGCUAGCCUCUUUGGAGGGGCAGGCUACAGAUGCAUACUUGGAGAGAAAGGCAGGAUAGGUGUCCGGGGUGGAGGGGCACAGGGUGGGAGGAGAUGAAGCCCAUCCCGGAUCCUCCGAUCCUGUCUGAGAUCAGGGCACAGACUCCCGAGCCCCCAGAUCAUCAGGGAAUGCCAGGAGGCAGCGGGAACUCAAGCGGGUCACCAAGAGCCCAAAGCUAUGCCAGCCACCGCCCGAGACCCUAUUCCCUGUCUGCUUCAGGUCACUUCCCUGCCAAGCCCCUGGCCCCAACCCUGUGCCCCCAGCCUUUGCCAGCUGGUCGGACCCAGUGCCUGCAAUUCCAUCGGUGGGGCUUCCCCCGGGGGGUUAGGGCAUCGCCCUGUUAGCGAGCUGCCCUGAUGGGGGAGCACGGGCCAUGUGGUUAGCAGCAAUCAGCACCGCACACGGUGAGUAUGGGAUCAAAUUCUGGUCUAGUCACUAGCUUUGAGCAAGUUUAGAAGUCGGGGGUGGUGAGGGUUCCAGAAGAGGUGAGAAGGGAGGUAGGAAGAUGUGAAGUCCCCCACACCGGCCUUGGGAGUUGCCACCCUCAGACCCAGGUGUCGCUUAUUAUAAGGGACAUCCACAGAGUCAGGGGAGGGAGGG